CGGAUCCAGUGCAUCGUGAGGGUGUGCACCUGCACACCCUGAAAUUUGAAAAUUUUCACCGGUACCCCUAUUGUUUUCUAAUUUUGACCACCCUGAAUAUUUUAUUUUGCACCUUGACCCCUUGACACCCAAAGUCUGAAACUCCACUCUCACAAUACAAUUUCACACUUCUCUCUACACUUCUCUCUAAACUAGUAUUCUCUCAUCUCAUGUCAAAACUAUUCACACAAACCACCGAAAAUCUGAUCUGAAGAUUCUGAACCGGCGGCGGCGACCACUCCAGCCACCACCACUGUCCAUGACCGCGCGAGAUCUCGUCCUCAGUCUCCUAUCUCUGUGCGAUUUUUCAGUGCAAUUUCUCCAUUUUUCUCUGCGAUUUUGUUGUGCGAAUUUCUCAGAUUUCUGUGCUAUUUCUCUCCCUAUUCAUCACCACAACCCUUCCUCACGAAGAUUCAGACAACAUUAGCAAGAUGAGAAACAGGAUUGGUGUAUGAAAUACUACCAUUGUAGAUGAGAAACAAGAUUGUACAGAGGAAGAUAAUAACUAAUCAUGCUAAAAUGAAAUACUAACACCAUUAUAAAUUGAGUACAAUGUAAUUUUUUGAGUAUAUGACUUUUAUAUAUAUGAUUAUACUUAUUUAUUAAAGUUUAAUAUUUUGCACCCA